rnacentral:rRNA from 1 species
CCUACGGGAGGCAGCAGUGAGGAAUAUUGGUCAAUGGGCUUACGCCUGAACCAGCCAAGUCGCGUGAGGGAAGACUGCCCUAUGGGUUGUAAACCUCUUUUGUCAGGGAGCAACGCCGGCUACGUGUAGCCGGACUGAGAGUACCUGAAGAAAAAGCAUCGGCUAACUCCGUGCCAGCAGCCGCGGUAAUACGGAGGAUGCGAGCGUUAUCCGGAUUUAUUGGGUUUAAAGGGUGCGUAGGCGGAAUGCCAAGUCAGCGGUAAAAUCGCGGGGCUCAACCUCGCUCCGCCGUUGAAACUGGCGUUCUGGAGUGGGCGAGAAGUAUGCGGAAUGCGUGGUGUAGCGGUGAAAUGCAUAGAUAUCACGCAGAACUCCGAUUGCGAAGGCAGCAUACCGGCGCUCAACUGACGCUCAUGCACGAAAGUGUGGGUAUCGAACAGGAUUAGAUACCCUAGUAGUC